UGUUAAAAAUUUCAUCCAUUUCUAUUAUUAAAAGUUGGUGUGGCUGACGCAGACAGUUACAUACAGCGUACUACGUGUAUCUCAUGCUAACAUAUAAGGAUCGAUUUUUAACCGAAAAUGGACGAAAUUUUUAAUA
rfam:Gossypium arboreum cultivar AKA8401 contig_10180_1, whole genome shotgun sequence.